GACGAACCGUGCGAACGUUAUUCGGAAUUACUGGGCGUAAAGCGUGCGCAGGCGGUUUGCUAAGAGAGAUGUGAAAUCCCCGGGCUUAACCUGGGAACUGCGUUUCUAACUGGCAGGCUUGAGUGUGGCAGAGGGGGGUGGAAUUCCACGUGUAGCAGUGAAAUGCGUAGAGAUGUGGAGGAACACCGAUGGCGAAGGCAGCCCCCUGGGCUAACACUGACGCUCAUGCACGAAAGCGUGGGGAGCAAACAGG
rnacentral:rRNA from 1 species